rnacentral:rRNA from 1 species
UCCAGACUCCUACGGGAGGCAGCAGUGGGGAAUAUUGCACAAUGGGGGAAACCCUGAUGCAGCGACGCCGCGUGAGCGAUGAAGUAUUUCGGUAUGUAAAGCUCUAUCAGCAGGGAAGAAAAUGACGGUACCUGACUAAGAAGCCCCGGCUAACUACGUGCCAGCAGCCGCGGUAAUACGUAGGGGGCAAGCGUUAUCCGGAUUUACUGGGUGUAAAGGGAGCGUAGACGGCUGUGCAAGCCAGAUGUGAAAGCCCGGGGCUCAACCCCGGGACUGCAUUUGGAACUGUAUGGCUGGAGUGCAGGAGAGGCAGGCGGAAUUCCUAGUGUAGCGGUGAAAUGCGUAGAUAUUAGGAGGAACACCAGUGGCGAAGGCGGCCUGCUGGACUGUAACUGACGUUGAGGCUCGAAAGCGUGGGGAGCAAACAGGAUUAGAUACCCGGGUACG